UUCCCGGUCAGCUUUGGCAGACCACCAGGAAUGCAGGGUGACUUUCCCUGUGCUCAAAACCUAAAAUGAAAGCCAAGAAAAAUCAUAGAGUAGGCAAACCAGAGAGGAGGAGUCUGAAGAGGUGACAUUCUGUCCUGUGUGCUUUGAACGUGGUGACUGAAGAAAACAAAGUCCUUCAGGAGAGGUGAGAGCUGCGCUGUGUCUCUGGAAGGCCGUGUGAUGCUGAGCAGCCGCUGGGAAUUGCCCUUU